rnacentral:rRNA from 1 species
AUUGAACGCUGGCGGCAGGCCUAACACAUGCAAGUCGAACGAGUGGCGGACGGGUGAGUAAUGCCUGGGAAACUGCCUGCUGGCGGGGGAUAACUACUGGAAACGGUAGCUCAUACCGCAUACCAUCGGAUGUGCCCAUAUGGGAUUAGCUAGUCGGUGGGGUAAAGGCUCACCUAGGCGACGAUCACUAGCUGGUCUGAGAGGAUGACCAGCAACACUGGAACUUGGACACGGUCCAGACUCCUACGGGAGGCAGCAGUGGGGAAUAUUGCACAAUGGCCGCAAGCCUGAUGCAGCCAUGCCGCGUGUAUGAAGAAGGCCUUCGGGUUGUAAAGUACUUUCAGCGGGGAGGCGUUACCCGCAGAAGAAGCACCGGCUAACUCCGUGCCAGCAGCCGCGGUAAUAC